rnacentral:misc_RNA from 1 species
GAAAAGACUGUACGCUAAUAGAACAACAAAAUUAACCCCUAAACUAAAAAUCCCCAAAUUCAAAUAAAAUAAAAUUGAAAAAUAGACCCGUGUCCGUUAAUUCAUAAUUAAUUCAAUAGAAAAUUUACAUCUCUAGAAUGGCUUGAGAGAGAGAAAAUUGGACAGAGAUAGAAAGUUACUGAAACUAUGGUUUUGUUCAAGAGACUGUUUGAUAUGUGAACGUGCUAAAGGAGAUGGAGGCAGCAUCAAGAGUGGAACUUGAUGGAAUGGGUUCUAGAAAAGAUUUUAUGUCGCAUACGACUUUGAUUUAUGGCUAUGUCGAGAUAGCUUUGGCUGGC